GGUCCUACGGGGGGCAGCAGUGGGGGAUAUUGCACAAUGGGGGAAACCCUGAUGCAGCGACGCCGCGUGAGUGAAGAAGUAUUUCGGUACGUAAAGCUCUAUCAGCAGGGAAGAAUAAUGACGGUACCUGACCAAGAAGCCCCGGCUAACUACGUGCCAGCAGCCGCGGUAAUACGUAGGGGGCAAGCGUUAUCCGGAUUUACUGGGUGUAAAGGGGGCGCAGACGGCAAUGCAAGCCAGGAGUGAAAGCCCGGGGCCCAACCCCGGGACUGCUCUUGGAACUGCAUGGCCGGAGUACAGGAGGG
rnacentral:rRNA from 1 species